CUGAUGCGUUGUUGGGUAGGGGAGCGUUCUGUAAGCCUGUGAAGGUGGCCUGUGAGGGUUGCUGGAGGUAUCAGAAGUGCGAAUGCUGACAUAAGUAACGAUAAAGCGGGUGAAAAGCCCGCUCGCCGGAAGACCAAGGGUUCCUGUCCAACGUUAAUCGGGGCAGGGUGAGUCGACCCCUAAGGCGAGGCCGAAAGGCGUAGUCGAUGGGAAACGGGUUAAUAUUCCCGUACUUGGUGUUACUGCGAAGGGGGGACGGAGAAGGCUAUGUUGGCCGGGCGACGGUUGUCCCGGUUUAAGCGUGUAGGUGUGUGUUCCAGGUAAAUCCGGUUCACUUUAACACUGAGGCGUGAUGACGAGGCACUACGGUGCUGAAGCAACAAAUGCCCUGCUUCCAGGAAAAGCCUCUAAGCAUCAGGUAACAUCAAAUCGUACCCCAAACCGACACAGGUGGUCAGGUAGAGAAUACCAAGGCGCUUGAGAGAACUCGGGUGAAGGAACUAGGCAAAAUGGUGCCGUAACUUCGGGAGAAGGCACGCUGACACGUAGGUGAAGUGAUUUACUCAUGGAGCUGAAGUCAGUCGAAGAUACCAGCUGGCUGCAACUGUUUAUUAAAAACACAGCACUGUGCAAACACGAAAGUGGACGUAUACGGUGUGACGCCUGCCCGGUGCCGGAAGGUUAAUUGAUGGGGUCAGCGCAAGCGAAGCUCCUGAUCGAAGCCCCGGUAAACGGCGGCCGUAACUAUAACGGUCCUAAGGUAGCGAAAUUCCUUGUCGGGUAAGUUCCGACCUGCACGAAUGGCGUAAUGAUGGCCAGGCUGUCUCCACCCGAGACUCAGUGAAAUUGAACUCGCUGUGAAGAUGCAGUGUACCCGCGGCAAGACGGAAAGACCCCGUGAACCUUUACUAUAGCUUGACACUGAACAUUGAGCCUUGAUGUGUAGGAUAGGUGGGAGGCUUUGAAGUGUGGACGCCAGUCUGCAUGGAGCCGACCUUGAAAUACCACCCUUUAAUGUUUGAUGUUCUAACGUGGACCCGUAAUCCGGGUUGCGGACAGUGUCUGGUGGGUAGUUUGACUGGGGCGGUCUCCUCCUAAAGAGUAACGGAGGAGCACGAAGGUUGGCUAAUCCUGGUCGGACAUCAGGAGGUUAGUGCAAUGGCAUAAGCCAGCUUGACUGCGAGCGUGACGGCGCGAGCAGGUGCGAAAGCAGGUCAUAGUGAUCCGGUGGUUCUGAAUGGAAGGGCCAUCGCUCAACGGAUAAAAGGUACUCCGGGGAUAACAGGCUGAUACCGCCCAAGAGUUCAUAUCGACGGCGGUGUUUGGCACCUCGAUGUCGGCUCAUCACAUCCUGGGGCUGAAGUAGGUCCCAAGGGUAUGGCUGUUCGCCAUUUAAAGUGGUACGCGAGCUGGGUUUAGAACGUCGUGAGACAGUUCGGUCCCUAUCUGCCGUGGGCGCUGGAGAACUGAGGGGGGCUGCUCCUAGUACGAGAGGACCGGAGUGGACGCAUCACUGGUGUUCGGGUUGUCAUGCCAAUGGCACUGCCCGGUAGCUAAAUGCGGAAGAGAUAAGUGCUGAAAGCAUCUAAGCACGAAACUUGCCCCGA
rnacentral:rRNA from 2 species